UCACCCCUCAAGCCCAGUGCUUGGUGUUGGACGGCCUGGUCGAGUCGCAUCGACCCCUUCUAAAGACAAUGACGGCGGCCUGUGGAUCCCCCGGUACACUGAGCUUUUAACUGAGCACGUAUCGGACAAGGGCGCCCAGGACCCGGUCCUCUCCUUUAACUAGGAAACUUCUCAA
rnacentral:misc_RNA from 1 species